rnacentral:ncRNA from 1 species
CCGCAGAGUACGUAUAAGGAGGAAAAAACAAGCCCGGGCUCGGGCUGCGGCAGUGUGGAGACCUGCCGUAAGGCGGCGCAGUCCAACGCGGCUGGCCGCGAGGGCGCUUCAUGCGGAGGCAGAGCGUCCGGAGCCGAGAAAAUGGC